GUGGGGAUAGCUCAGUGUAGAGCGCCGGAGCAAUCCGGAGGUCAGGGGUUCAACUCCCUUUCCCCAUA
rnacentral:tRNA from 1 species